AUUGAACGCUGGCGGCAUGCCUUACACAUGCAAGUCGAACGGCAGCACGGGGGCAACCCUGGUGGCGAGUGGCGAACGGGUGAGUAAUGCAUCGGAACGUGCCCAGUAGUGGGGGAUAACUAGUCGAAAGAUUAGCUAAUACCGCAUACGACCUACGGGUGAAAGCGGGGGAUUCGCAAGAACCUCGCGCUAUCGGAGCGGCCGAUGUCUGAUUAGCUAGUUGGCGGGGAAAAGCCCACCAAGGCUUCGAUCAGUAGCUGGUCUGAGAGGACGACCAGCCACACUGGGACUGAGACACGGCCCAGACUCCUACGGGAGGCAGCAGUGGGGAAUUUUGGACAAUGGCGCAAGCCUGAUCCAGCCAUGCCGCGUGCGGGAAGAAGGCCU
rnacentral:rRNA from 1 species